UACGUAGGGGGCAAGCGUUGUCCGGAAUCAUUGGGCGUAAAGAGCGUGUAGGCGGCUUGGUAAGCCCGCUGUGAAAGUCCAGGGCUCAACCCUGGAAAGCCGGUGGAAACUGUCAAGCUUGAGUCCGGAAGAGGCGAGUGGAAUUCCUGGUGUAGCGGUGAAAUGCGCAGAUAUCAGGAGGAACACCAAUGGCGAAGGCAGCUCGCUGGGACGGUACUGACGCUGAGACGCGAAAGCGUGGGGAGCAAACAGG
rnacentral:rRNA from 1 species